UCCAGCAUUAUUUGAAAAAGGCUUAGAUUUUCCCUAUUAUUUUUCUUUUUAUAUAUAGUAGCUUAGCUUACGAAUUGCAAGCGGAAAUUUUGUAUGCACAUUUCAUAAAUCGUUGUUCCUGUUACCUGUUCGUUAAAACGGUUUAAUUUUUACUUUGUGUGAACGUAGAGGCGUACCGUCUGUGCAAACGUUAAACACCCGGAUGUGCGAUGAUAGCAGUGCUAACGUAAUCCGAAAAACUCUUGACAGAUCGACAAUAAAAGGCAGAGUUGUGUUCCUAUUGCGUUGAGUGUAAACGAGACCUGGAGAAAGUUGUAAUCUUGCACCCAAUAAAAAUAUUGCUUCAAGGAAUUGGUGUAGUGACUGGUCUACGUUCGCUUUCGCGUUGUCGAACACAACUUGUGCCUCACUGUUCCACGAUUACAGUUAUGACAUGACGUUCAUUUAGCUCCAAUAACAACUGAGGAAGAUUGAAAAUUCUGCGGGAGCUGGUAUAAUGGACAGCGAUUUCUUUUGGAGACGCUACUCGCCUAAAGAACUCGACGGCUACAGCGAAGAUACACUAAAAGGAAUCACUGAUGACCUUCGCUGCAAAAUAAAAGAUGCGUUGUGGGAAUUAGCCGAAUUGGAAGAAGAAAAUGCUUGCCUUGACGUACAGGCGUCGGCUAGAAUGGUGGUUAUUGAUCAACUUCUCGACCUUCAUACCGAGAGAACGCGUGAUCUCGACACCUACUUUCGUGGCGUACAAAUGUCGGUAAAGGGAAUUCGGCACAAAAAGCGUUCACCGUCAAUACAACAACCACGGGGAAAGUUUGUUACGCCGAGCGACAAGGGUGAAGAAACACCUAGUGAAAAUUCGCUAUCCAAACCGGAACAGACCAUCAAAACGAGCUAAAUAUUCUAGGUAUUCGUCUUCAUUCGAAAGUUAUGUACAGCACCGAUACGAUUACUGAUGACAGAAGCAUUAGACCGUUAGUUAGUCGUACAGAUAGAUAAUGUUUGUUAAUUGAAAUUUUAGUCUCGGUGAUAGCUUAGUGGGUUCGAAGUCGAGCAUAGACACCAUUUCUUUUGUACUGGGAGUUAGUCGCGUGAUGGAAUAUCUAUAUAUAAUGGCGAUGCCGGACGUAAAACUAAAGACACAGAAAGCUUUGAGCCUGGGGUUAAUGGGCUUGAAUGCCUCUCUGCACAGUGAUAAAAUUCAAAAGCGUGCAAAAAAUACAUACGCCUGCAAGAGGAGUAAAACCUAAUGGAAAUGAAUUUGUAAGAAUGAAACCUAUUUUAUACACAUUUAUACUUUUGCUAUGGAAAAUCAAAUGCUGCAAUAAGAUGGACUUUUUCAAUUGUGUUUCUGAAUCAUAUUUGGCACGAUAAAUAAUCAUAAAGGAUAGGCUCAGUAAUACACCGGCAUACAAACUUUUAAUUCUUGAGUCUGAACAAUCCUUCGAAUGGGAAUGUUCCUACAAAUAACACCGCUUUCUGCUUCUUAGACUCACUUGGCAAUUGCUUAAUAGGGCAGUAUAAGCUAAACGAUUCGGCAGAGUAACAACUAUCAUUUUUAACUAAUUUACGAAUUAUUAUUGAUUGUAUCCGGAUUCACGGUCCAGACACACUUGAUUGAGUCUGAUCAAAAGUCAAACUUUUUAAAAAAUAUUGAGCUUUUGAUAUCAUCUCGUUUUGCAUUUGUUGUCUACCGUAUUGUAUUGGAUUCGAACAGCGCAGCUACUGCAACGCUUAAGACCAUUAUUGGAAAUCUUCACGAAAAUUUGAUUCUUACGCCUUCCUUUCUAACUCACAUAAACUAAUGCUAAAGCGAUUUCAAUUAAUUUACUACAAAUGUGUAUUAUUUCGCAUUCGAGCGAAAGCGUAUAACCUUAGUGUUUGUAUUGCAUUUUGAAGAGGGGAAAAAGCCUUAUUUUUUUAAGAUGAAAAGAACCUAAUCAUGUUACAGCCAGUACAUACGAGCUUUUUAACUUUUUUAAAAAAGAAAAGACGCUAGGAACCUAUGGUAAACAAGCUUAUAAAUUAAGUGCCUGAAUAAGCGUUUUUCUGUAAAAGAUCCAAUACGAAGAUCGUCAUUCUUUCUGAGGGGAUCCGUUGUCAGUACGUAUCAAGCUGUCCUCCACAGGUGCCGCUUUUUUGCUAUGAAUACAGUACGCACAAAUAAACAGCACAGUACAAGCCUUACGUCGGCCAAUGGCCAUCCAGUAAAAUGGAGUAGGACAUUUAAACGUGUGCAUAAGGCAACGUCCGUCGUUAGAUGUGUUAUACGAAUCACACAAUUCGUAUGAUGUGUUAUAUCUUCUUAGCCGCCGACGUACCUAUCGGACGGCUCCUAUGAACAAGGAACUUUUUUUUUAGUUAACUCAUCAAGAGGAAUAGGUACUAAAUAGCGUAGGCAAUAAAUCGACUGAGUGAUUUAAAACGAAGCAAAGACUAUCAUGAAAUAGAGUUUAAUGUGUUUAAUGUUUGAAUUUACGUAAACUGUAAAAAAACAUAGGUAAACAUGUGAGUGACGAAAGGCACAAGAAUUGUUUCGAAAUUCUUAUUCUCAUUAUGAUUCCUGCAGUAUGAAAUAGUUACUUGCUGUAACAGUACACGUGACCGUACAUUGUACCACGUAACUUAUAAUCAAGUGCCUUACACGUCGUAGAUAGCUGCCCGAUAACGAAUAAGCCGUUCAUGAUAGCGGUCGUAUUUGGAUAGGUACCGCUUCAAGGUUGCGUCAGACUAAUCGCAUUUCAUUAAAAUACUCGAAGGAUAAGGCAAACUUGUUUCUAUAGAUGACUUUCUAGGCCCUUGUCUUAUAGAAGUAGAAGUUCUAGGAUGGUAAAGCACGUCUCCAAAAGACGUUGCAGGAAGCGUCCCUUUAUCAGGAUAGGACCUAGGCUACGUUUUAGUAAUAAUUAAAUAUUAUACUGUCUCGUUCAGCUCGUAUCAGUUCAGAAGUGAGAUCGUGGGCUCGUGUGUGGAAGUUUCGUACUGCUCCUCCUGGGGCUUCGGCGCGAUCACGACGCAUUUUAUUUUCCGUUUCACAGACCUGAAAGCGACAGGCUUCAUCAGAAAAUCACAUUGGGCAUAUUUGGACGGCAGAUGGGCAUGCACGAUACCAUGGUCCAGUCAAGCGCAUAAUUCGAGCGAGUAAACUAGGCCUUCUCGCGUAGUGCCCGCAGUUCGUUUUAAGAUAUGCUGGCUGAAGUGGGUUACAAAGUAACUUUUGGAGUUUUUACAAACAACAGAUCUUUCAACUUGGCCAUUACUUUGAGAGCGGAGCGGCGUUGAACGUAUAUAACAAGAUCUCCAUAGCAAACAGAGUGUUUUUUUGAAUAUUCUCAAUGUGAACUGCGUGCCGCUGUCAACACAGGAAUAAGUACCUUUGGAUUUUCACGCCCUGCAAAUGUAGAUGUUAGUUUUGUGUAGUCGAUGCUGGUGUACCUGUUCGCAGCGGACUCGCUUCAGACCAACUUCAAUUAUAUAGCACAAUAAAAUCGGUAUUGUAAAUUACUUUAUGGCUUAUUAGGUUCAAAUCAUUUUCUUUAACUGUUUUUAAUGGGGCUCUUCGGAUAGCAGAUGAUAAAGCUUAUUCGGUGUCUUCAGCCACCACAAAGGCCAAAACAAGCAGAAACAAGCUAAUCGUUUCAUUAUUACGAUACCUGUGUAUCCUCUUUGAAGUAUCUUUAGCGAAUCGAAACCCAGUACCUGUGAGCAAUGACGGUGAUUCCAUCCAAGAGAAAAAUAGUUCUUAACUUUAUGAGAACUCCACAAGACGUGCCAGUUUUUGAUAUUAUGCCAGGCCAAUAAUUACUUUCACAAAGUCUAUAUCAGGUUAUCGUCUUAAAUCAAGUCCCGUCGCUUUUACAAUGCAAAAAGGGAAAAACCUGAAAUAUAGUUGAUUCAUGGAUCGUCAUUUUCAUUACAUAAUUCGAACUCGCUAUAUCUCUUGUGUUGUAGUACGUUGUUUAUCUUGCAUACCUGCAAACUAACAAUACUUGAUAUUGUCAUCUACGGAAUAACACUUUUGGGAACCCCUUUUGCAUUGAGCACUUUGGCCAUACAGUGACGAUGGCAGCUCCUUAACUCAGCUGAAAUCUGUUCCUAUAGGAGGAUCGGACACGAUGAGUACUGCAUGCAGCGUGAUAGUCCUGAUAUCUGUGAGCCUCCAUCACACAACGAUACAUCUACACGUUAGAUACGUAAGCUUGUAGGGUGUGAAUAAUUGAUUGAAUAUGUAUUAGAGCGUACUCUAGUCAAUCACCCAUACUAUCUGGGAGCGUGCCCACGUUGAACAGAGGGCUUCCAAGAAGAGUUCGUCAUACUGCGCGAAAAACGCUAUGACUCUAGAGAACUAAUAGCAUUUCGCAAUCGAAAAUAAUAAUACCACUGGCAACAGAAGCAGACCUUCGUUAGUUUUGCUGAAAUGAAUAUAUUUGUCGCAGGUCCGCUUUAGGAUAGCACCGUAAAAGAGGCAAGUCGUGAGACUGAUGUAUGAAACUCUUAUCGAUAUUUGCAUUUGUCGCGAGUGUGCAUGGAGAUAAUAUGUGAUACAAUUAUCCGCUGAGUAAAUUUAAAAGUUAUCCCGUUUUCUAACAAAGUUCACCUCUCGCCGCUAUGAUAAGCGAACCUUUUAUGUUGCUGGCUGAUAACACAGCUGAAUAAUACAUGAGCGGCUGUCGUAUGAUUAGCAUUUCAGCCUGAGUUAAAACUGCCGCGAGUCCUCGAAAAUGUAUGCCGUUUAUUUCUAGAAUUUUUCGAAGCACACCCUUCACGACUUAAACAAGUUGUUUGUGCUAGGGACCGGAACCCAUAAGGGCCGCACCUGUUUGCUGUCGAU